rnacentral:rRNA from 1 species
UAGGGAAUCUUCCACAAUGGGCGCAAGCCUGAUGGAGCAACGCCGCGUGUGUGAUGAAGGGUUUCGGCUCGUAAAACACUGUUGUAAGAGAAGAAUGACAUUGAGAGUAACUGUUCAAUGUGUGACGGUAUCUUACCAGAAAGGAACGGCUAAAUACGUGCCUG